UUUUUUACUGCUAUAUCGCCAUUUGUUGGUGUAUUUCAACCAGAAAAAUGUUCACUUAAAGAGAAUAACAAGCUACAUAAUGCAAAAUUUUUACUUUUCAAAAAUUCCAAUUCUAAAGGGUCGAAACAAACCCGAGCAACGCCGGGCGAUACUACUAGUAAAAUAUAAAACCAAAAUUACAUUAUACUAUAUUAUGAUAUAUUAUAAUAAAAUAUCUUAUAUAUGGAAAAUUAUAAUAUCUUAUACAAGCAAAAUUUUGUUAACAUUGUAAUGGAAGCAAUAAUGUUCAUACUCAAAUGAGAAUGCUUAGCUAACAAAAAAAGAUGUCACUAAUCCUGUAUACAUUUGGAUGAAGCUAAACCUGAUGAUAAAGAUGAAGAAUUUGUGAUGGCAUUGUCAAUGGUAUUACACAAUAUUGAAAGAAAGACCUAGUUUAUCCUUCAAUCUCCUCCUUAAGCAGAAUUUCAAACUGCAUAUUAGCUGGUAGUUUUCAACUUAAGUCUACUCAGUACGGAGCUGCGUUUAUCAUGAUGUCAUCUUCCUACAUUUUUAUCUAAACUGAAUGACAUUUUUGACAAUAACAGAGUGAAAACAAACACGUACGCACAAACAAAAAAGGAAAUCAAGAACAAACAAAAAAAAAAAGAGAGGAAUUCACAGAUAAAAGGGGAGCGAAAAAAAAUAAAUGUUGACAAGUUUAAUAAAAUACAAUCAGCAGAUAACCAGAUAACCCGUGAAAACUAUACAAGAUUAAAACAAACAACAAAUGUAUUUUUACUCUGAAAAAUUCUGUGAAGAGUUUUCAAGCCAAGUUAUAUAGCAAAACUACAAAACUAUAAAUUCUGUCAGCUUACUGUAAAUACAAUUCAGGCCAAAACUUAUGUCAUGCAGAGGCAACUUGCAGCCCUCAAGUUUCUAGUUUACUAAUUUGCAGCCAUAAGAGUAGUGACAUCUCAAAUUCUACCUAAUAUUGAAAAUAUGGUAAAGAAUGUGAAUGUGCAAAAAUCACAUUGAGAUAGAUAAUGAAAUUUGUACCUUGACAUACUCUACGGAGAGCUUGCUAGGGGUACUAGGUCUGUGGGUAGAUCGCUCUUACGUUACAAGGAUGUUUGCAAAAGGGACAUGAAGGCCUGCAACAUCAAUAUUAGCGGUUGGGAGGCAGUUGCCAGCAACCAUGGUGACUGGCGACGUGCCGUAAGAGAGGGAAUACAAAGGAGUGACAGAGAGAGAGAGAGGAGAAAUGGAAAGACAAGAAAAGACGUCAACAAGAAACUAUGAGAUUACAACCAGCCAGGAACAGUCUUCGCUACAUUUGCGGCACCUGCCAGAGGGAGUGUUUGUCCAGGAUAGGACUACACAGCCACAGCAGGAAAUGUAUCAGGACAUGAAAUGUAAAAGCCGGACUAGACUACUUUAUGCGCAACUCCAUUGUCUCCUGAGACAAAAAGGAUGCCAUCCAAUAAAAUAUCAAUUAAUUUUUUUUUUUUUUUGACCUCAAUAUUUUAAACUAUAAUUUAUUUAUAGUAGUAAUCAUCAUUAUUAUCAUUAGGAAAUAAUGAGAGAUGCCAGCUAAAUGUAAACUAAGACAAAUGAAAUUAAGAAGAACUGCAAAAAAUUCAGUGUGAAGCAGGCAAGUAAUAGUUCCUGCAUAUGUGUUUUGUCAUAUGGCCCUCUCCCACUUGGAAUUGAUACAAUGUGGUCCCCAGUUUGCAAAAAGUUGUCCAUCCCUGACUUAUGAAUUUGUUAUUUUAGAUUUUUAGGUUGAUAUCUUAGAAAUGUAAUUAAUAUAAAAUUUAUAAAUUUUACAACUUGGAGGAAUACAGUGAGAAAAUAUUUAUAAACCAAUUAUGGUUCUUUUAUCUGUUUUGCUUGUCUCGUACAUUGGACUGUGGUCAUGCUGGGGCACCACCUUGAAAGGUGAGUUUUUGUCAAACAAAUCAGUCCCAGUACCUUUUUUCUUUGUUUAGUUUGGUUGUCUUUUUUUUCGGUCUGUUACUUAUUCUGUCAGUCUCUUUUGCUGAACCACUGAGUUACAGGACAUAAACAAACCAACACUGGUUGUUAAGCAAUGGGGGACAAAUGGAGAAAAAAUCACACACACACACACACACCAAUUUAUCUGUCUGUCAAUCCAUCCAUCCGUGGGUGUGUUUGUGUGUGAACAAAAAGAAGGCUUCCACACAGUUUCCAUAAUUCACUCACAAGGCAUGGAUUAGACCAGGGCUAUAGUAGAAGAUACUUGCCCAAGGUGUCAGGCAUUGGGCCUGAACCUGGCACUCCAUCGGUUCCAGUUGAUUCUAUCAAUGGAACAGCCUGCUUGUAAAUUAACAUGACAAUGGCUGAGUACUCCUAAGACAUGCAUACACAGAACAUAACAGGGUGGACCUUUUUGAAUUACUGUUACAACUCACUUUCGCCAGCCAAGCAGACUGGAGCAAUAGGAAAUGAGGUGUCUUGCUCAAGGACAUAACACGCUACCAGGAAUUGAACUCAUGACGUAACAGUUAUGAGCCGAACACCCUAACCACUAAGCCACCUGCCUUCACUUCAGGCAUUGGGACUGAACCUAAAACUCCUGUUUGGAAACCAUUCAUCCACGCCUGCUUCUAUAAUCAUAUUUAAUAUGAUUAUGCGGCGAGCUGGCAGAAACGUUAGCACGCCGGGCGAAAUGCGUAGCCGUAUUUCAUCUGCCGUUAUGUUCUGAGUUCAAAUUUCGCCGAGGUCGACUUUGCCUUUCAUCCUUUCGGGGUCGAUAAAUUAAGUACCAGUUACGCACUGGGGUCGAUGUAAUCAACUUAAUCUGUUUGUCUGUCCUUGUUUGUCCCCUCUGUGUUUCGGUUUGGUACUUAUUCCGUCAGUCUCUUUCGCUGAACCACUGAGUUACAGGACAUAAACAAACCAACACUGAUUGUCAAGCAGUGGGGGACAAAUGGAGAAAAAAAUCACACACACACAUGCACCAAUUUAUCUGUCUGUCAAUCCAUCCAUCCGUGUGUAUGUGUGUGUAUGUGUGAACAAACAGAAGGCUUCCACACAGUUUCCAUAAUUCACUCACAAGGCAUGGAUUAUCCCAGGGCUAUAGUAGAAGACACUACUUGUGGGUAGUAAAGAAAUAUAUAACCAUAUUUAAUAGUAUUUAUUUUAUCGACACCAGGAGGACAAAAGAUUUAGUUAAAACUCCAAAAGGAUUUGAACUCUGACCAGUGAGGUACCAGAUGCCAUUAUGAAAUGCAUAUUCAGGUAUUCAACAGUCUUGGCUUCUUUCCACGGUGUUCUUCAUUAACCGUGUAUAGUGAGAAAGUAGCAACGAGUUGUUGAAUGUUGGUUUAAUGAACACAUCAUGCUGGUUUUCUUCGUUUAAAUGAAAAGUUGCUUAAUUGUGGAUAAUGAUCAUAUUAAUUGAGUCGAUCGCCAAAAACAAGAAAUUUAACGUCAUGUCAAGUAACUGAAGUGAAAGUCAAGAUUACGGUUAUAGGCAUGCAAAGAUUCAUACACACACACACACACACACACACACACACAUAUAUAUAUAUACACAUACACAAAUAUAUAUUUAUAUGUAUAUAUACAUAUUUAAAUACAUAUAUGCAUAUAUAUAUAUAUAUACACGCAUAUACACAUAUAUAUACACACAUAUAAGAUGUAUAUAUACAUACCUAUGAAUAUAUAUAUGUGUGUAUAUAUAGAUGUAUAUAUAUGUGUGUGUAUAUAUAUAGGAUGUAUAUAUAUAUAUGUAUAUACAUAUAUAUGUGCAUAUAUAUAUGUGCAUAUAUAUAUGUAUAUAUAUACAUAAAUAUAUGUAUAUAUAUACAUAAAUAUAUGUAUAUAUAUGCAUAUAUAUACAUAUAUAUGUAUAUAUAUAUAUACAUAUAUAUGUAUAUAUAUAUAUGUAUAUAUAUGUAUAUGUAUACAUAUAUAUGUAUAUAUGUAUACAUAUAUAUGUAUAUAUGUAUACAUAUAUAUGUAUAUAUGUAUACAUAUAUAUGUAUAUAUGUAUACAUUUAUAUGUAUACAUAUAUACGUAUAUAUAUACAUAUAUAUGUAUAUGUAUACAUAUAUAUGUAUAUAUAUACAUAUAUAUGUAUAUGUAUACAUAUAUAUGUAUAUGUAUACAUAUAUAUGUAUAUAUAUACAUAUAUAUGUAUAUGUAUACAUAUAUAUGUAUAUGUAUAUGUAUAUAUGUAUACAUAUAUAUGUAUAUAUGUAUACAUAUAUAUGUAUAUAUAUACAUAUAUAUGUAUAUGUAUACAUAUAUAUGUAUAUGUAUACAUAUAUAUGUAUAUAUGUAUACAUAUAUAUGUAUAUAUGUAUACAUAUAUAUGUAUAUAUGUAUACAUAUAUAUGUAUAUAUGUAUACAUAUAUAUGUAUAUAUGUAUACAUAUAUAUGUAUAUAUAUACAUAUAUAUAUGUAUAUACAUAUAUAUAUAUGUGUAUGCACACACACACACACACAUCUAUCUAUCUAUCUAUCUAUAUAUAUAUAUAUGCAUUCAUUCAGUGUAUAGGACAAAUUGGUUGACUAAUUAAAAAUCAUAAACUUUGAUCUUCGUAAGCUCAGUGUUUCACAUAGUGAUAAAUUAGCUUUUAGAUGAACAUAAAAAAAGAAAAUAAAAGAAAGCUGAAAUAUUACUGAAUGAACUGCUUACUAUAUUUACCAUUGAGCAAUUAGACAACUUGGAGGAAUAUAGUAAGAAAAUAUUUAUAAAUCUUAUUAUGUGGAUAAUGAAUCUCAUACAUCAGGCUAGUUAUCAAAAACUAAAUAAUAACCGCAUAAUUAUUACUUAAGCCCUUUGUUCUCUAAUGAGCGUAGGUGUUUGAUGAUUUAUCUUCCCUUAGUACAAUCUAGUUGUUGACUCUGAACUGUACUAAGAUCUCUUGUUUUGCUUUUCUUGGUAACUUUCUCUGUGAAACAAAUAACUUGGUUGUAUGACAAUGUUGCUCUUUACAACCAUCGAGUGAUGUCAAGAUAAGGGUAGCUACCAGGGCUGUGGAGUUGGAGUCAGAGUCGUGGAGUCAGAAUUAGAGUCAUGGAGUUUGAGUCAGAGUCGUGGAGUCGGAAACAAUUAGGGGGUAGCUGGAGUUAGAGUCAGUAAAACUCUGACUCUGACUCACAGUAUCUUUAUUCUUUAAUAUAAACCAGUUAAUAACAUAUAGGCCUACUCAAAGUACAAGUGCAUGCAUAUGCUUUAUGAGAUAUGCAGACCACAAUCGCUUUAAUUACAUAAAGAGGAGUCAGAGUCGAAGGUACCUAUAGUAGAUGAGUCAGAGUCAAAGUUUUUUUGUUUCGACUCCACAGCCCUGGUACAUACAGAAACGCACACAUAUACAUGACUGGUUUCUUUCAAUUUCCAUCUACCUAAUCCACUCAUAAAGCCUGGGGCUCAAAUAGAAGACACUUGAUCAAGGUACCACAUGUGGGACUGAACUCACUCUAAAUUGUCAUUGAUGCUUGGGUUACUUUGCUUUUCUCAUAGUGGAGGUACUGGCCCUUCAAAAAACCCAUUUUAUCUCCUUCGAGCGAAUCGACCCAAGACUUAUUCUUUGUAAGCCUAGUACUUAUUCUACCGGUCUCUUUUGCUGAACCGCUAAGUUACGGGGACGUAAACACACCAGCAUUGGUUGUCAAGUGAUGUUGGGAGGGACAAACAUAUACACAAACAUACACACAUAUCUCUCUAUAUAUAAACGGCAGUUUGUCUGUGUGUGUUUCUGUGUGUCUGUUAGCUUGUACCCUCACCCUGGUCACGGCUUUCAACCGAUUCUGAUGAAACUUGACACACACAUAGCCCAAUGCCAUAAUUCAAAACUAACGCAGAGAAAAUUUUGAAAAGUUCCCCCAGUUCUGAAAAAAAAUCGAUAAAUUCGACAUGGGGUCGAGAAUCAGAAACACAAACCACAGACUGUCUAGGGGACGCAACUCGACCGUUUUAACUCUCAAAAAAAAAUUUACCAUAAUUUUUUUUCCAUUUUUUUUUUGCUAUAACUCUCUAAAAAUGCUUUAUAGUUAUUUCCCUUACAAACCCGAGCAACGCCGGGCGAUACUGCUAGUAUAGAUAUAUACAACAGGCUUCUUUCAGUUUCCGUCUACCAAAUCCAUUCACAAGGCUUUGGUCGGCCCGAGGCUAUAGUAGAAGACACUUGCCUGAGGUGCCAUGCAGUGGGACUGAACCCAGAACCAUGUGGUUCGUAAGCAAACUACUUACCACAUGGCCACUCCUACGCCUAUUUAUCUUUGUUCACUGUAACUAUUGAGAAUAAGUAUCAGGUCAUCUAGUGCAAUUUAUUUCUCAUCUGCUUCAGGCCAUAAUAAGUUUUGUUGAGCUUCUGAGCCAUAACAUCUUUUUUGUCUCCCUUAUUAAAGGACCAUGAGAAAUCACCAGUAAUCGUAUUAAGAAAAAUAGCAAUUUCAAUCAUCAUCAUCAUGACCUGGUCAAGCUUGCUUGGACAUUUUUUUAACUUGUGCAUGCCAUCCAUCAGUCCUGCAUUAGCUGAGGGAGGUCUUCUGGGAGGCAUCCAGUCUCUCUGGUGAGUUGAACUACAUUCAUUGUGUCCAGACAACCUGUUUGAGUGUAGAUGCUAUAAAUCUCCUUUAGGAUAUUGCUGUUGGUGUUUGGCCCUUAGCCAGUCCUUAAUUGAGCAAACCUAUAAUGAAAUCAAUUCAAAUCCUAACCAUCCUCUUUCUUUUGUUUUGCUUUGGCACAGCCCUUUUGGCACCACUGAUGCUGACUUGUUUGACAUUAGACGUUUUUAAUGUUACCCUUGUUUCUUUUUUCCCUCCCUCUCUUUUUUUCUAUUUAUGUGUGCGAGCAUAUUUCUGUUCAUGUGUAUGAAAAGACAGAAGGUCUUUAUUUUUUUGUCAGUUGUGUUCAAUUAAUAAUUCUGAAUUAUUUUCAUUCUGUAAAGCAAUUUUAAUAAAUAGUCUUUUUAACCCUUUUGUUACCAUAUUUCUUUUGAGAUGCUCUGUGUUUCUUUCAAUUAAUUCUAAAUAUAACAAAGAAUUUAGUAAAAUAACUUAGUUAUCAUUCAGCUAGUGUUAGGAACAUAAACUGUGAGUAAGGUUUGGUGGAAGAUUAUAAUUCAAAACUUUCAAAAACAAGAUAUUUGUACUAUAGAGCCAGAAGCGGUUUCAUGCAGGUUGGUGACGAAACGGUUAAUUCAUCAAUUUACAAUUGUUUCAGGAAGAAAAGAGAAAAAAAAAACCGUUAAAAGAAUAAACAAAUUAAACUAUCAAGAACAAAACCCAGAAUUCAGUGAGAAAAGAAAGAAAAAAUAAGGAAGUGGAUUAAGCAACAAAAGAUGGUGGUGGUGGUGGUGGUGGAGGGGUGCAGUUGCACAACCCAGUCCAAAUGGUGUAUUCAACCAUGCCCUGCAGACAUAACUGCAGGAGCAUUUCUGUGGAGAAUGGCCAGCAACGCUUGCUGCAACAACCAUUCCACCAUAUGUGGUUCACUUUUCAGAUGAAUGUCUGUUAUUCUGAUUUUGUUGAAGAAAUCAGCAGUGAGAGAUCAAAGAACACCUGAAAUCUUGAUGGCAGCCUUGUCUCUCUCUCUCUCUCUCUCUCUCUCUCUAUAUAUAUAUAUAUAUAUAUAUUUAUAUCUACAUUUCUCUGCACAUGUGCAGGUGUGUGUUUAUCUCCAGCAUUAAAAAUUACCGUUAUCAAAACAGGAUGACUGUUCUGUCAGUGGUGCCAAAUUGUCAUCAUCCAAACAGCUCCAACCAACUGUCUCAUUCCAGCAUCCAAGACCCCUACUAUUCAAUGUGUUCUUCAUCUUCCAAGACUAGGGUGUGGUUUCUAUCAGGUGAAUAACAAGCAAGUAACUAUCUAUCGAGAUCGUACCUUUAAUUUUUUGCAAUGAUUCUGUGUGUCCCCCCCCCAAUGGUGGCACAUACAAAUUUUGAUUUUUUAAUUUUGAAUUUUACAACCAUAUCUAAAGUUGGUUGAGCUUUCAAUUAUAAAAAUCAGGCUUUAAUUUCUGUGAUUUUUCCAUUGUAAGAAUCGGCUAUUAUUAUUGUUAAGAAUUUCAUAGAAGGUCGUAAUAUUGAGGAUUUUAAAGAGUCGCCCAACCAUUGCAAAUACAUUCAAUAUAACUCUUAAUUAAAAUUUUAAUUUAAUUGUACAUGUAUUGAUUAUAAAUGUUGGAAGAAGUAAAUUCAUUCUUAAGACUAAGAGCAAGAGUGACUACUUUGUUAUUAAUUAACUUCUAAAUAACAAAACCAGUUCAAAUAUUUGGAAGUUCUACAAGGCUGCAGAGAUUAAUAACGCCGCUUUGAUGGUUCUCUACAGAAAAUUGCAUGAUAUUAGAAAUGUACUUAGUCUUACUGUUAUAAUAAUAUUUGAGAAAUAAUUUUCAUUUUCUAUUUUUUUCUCACACAGUUCCUUACAAAAUCAUUCCCUUCACCAUCAUUUUAUCUAUAUUAUAAAAAAUUGUCUCGUAAUAUCUGAAGUUAUUUCCAUAGCUUAUUAUUUUUUUUUACUUAAAUAAUUAACUUGAAGAGUCAUGGCAUUGUUCUUCUCCCGACAGUUUGGUUAACUUAACCAUUUCAGACGUCUUACGGUUUGAGACGCCAUGUGAAUUUUUGCUUAUUAAGUUACCUACUGGAGAUUGAUUCUCAGACACUGCCUUCGAACAUACAUAGAUUUAAUGGUUCCAUCAUCGGAAUUUAUGGUAAAAAACAAAUUUUUUUUUUUUUUUUUUUUUUAGAAAAAUCUAAAGAAUAUUUAUUGCUAAAACAAUAAUACUGCAUUACAUUACUGAAAUAAAUUUUCUUACUUUUCACAUAUCUACUUUGUAUUGAUCAUAUAAGGUCGAAAUAAUCAUUUCAUGUUGUGCUCUUUAGUCGUACUUGCUUUAAAAGAUAUAGCUUCUAUUAAAAAAAAACCCACAAAAAAGGUACUAUUAUCUUUUCCGAUCAGUAUCGCUAUUGCUACCAUUUUAUCUAUUUUUUUUUUAAGUAUGGCUAUCUUAAACUAUAAGGCUAUACAGACAGGUUUGUGUGCUAUAAAACAAUUCUGUUAAGCUACAUAUACGCUUUACUUUUUUAUUUUUUUUAAUAGGCAGGCAUUUACUUUUUGUCUGGUUAGUUUGAAAUUUAAAUGAAUCUGGCAUAUCAUUAGAGACCUUUCAAUUAUUUAGUUUUUAUUAGCAACUUAACUUGAGAAAAGGGAUAUCUUUAAACAUUUGUCUAGCAUCAGUUUUUCUCAUACUAUAGCAUGGGUUAGUCAAGGAUGUAUUUAACCCUUUACUGUUCGCAUUAUUCUGCCAAAAUUAAUGCUUAAUUAUCCACAUUGUUUUGAACUAAUCAUGCAUUAUCUUGUAGCUAUGAGAUUUUGAUGAAGUAGCUGUUAAUUUUUUAAAAGAUAAUGUAGGGUUGGUGUGAGAGACCAGUUCUGGCCAGUUUGAACAUAAAACAGGCAGAAUACUUUUGGCCAGAUAUGGCCGGUAUAAAUGCUAAAGGGUUAAGGUAAGGAUUUCAUGACUGGAUGCUCUUCCAGUUUACUAACCAUUACCUGUUUUUUUGAGUAAGAGAUUUCUUAUUCCACGGGCCUUCAAAAACACAGAGCAACCAGUCAUAAUGCCAACAAAGAAUGUCAAUAUAUUACUGUUUUGCUCAUGUGAUGACAGCACUUGUGCAUAUUUGCACACAGGAGUGGCUGUGUGGUAAGUAGCUUACUUACCAACCACAUGGUUCUGGGUUCAGUCCCACUGCGUGGCACCUUGGGCAAGUGUCUUCUACUAUAGCCUCGGGCCGACCAAAACCUUGUGAGUGGAUUUGGUAGACAGAAACUGAAAGAAGCCCGUCAUAUAUACAUGAUGGAUAGGCAUGAGGACCAAAUUGAAGACAGCAAAUUUGGCUUUAUUUUUACCAACCUCCCCCUUUUCUGAGAAUCAAAUUCUGAAGUUGGCACAUAACUGUGCCAACACCUACAAGUUAUCUACACUUCUUCAUUGUUAAGAACUGGCAUUAGCCCUUUUGUUACCAACCUGGCUGAAACCGGCUCUGCCUCUGUAGUACAAAUGUCUCGUUUUCAUAAGUUUUGAAUUAAAAUCUUCCACCAAAAUUUAGUCACAAUUUAUGUUCCUAACACUAGCUGAAUGAUAACUAAGUUAUUUUACUAAAUUCUUUGUUAUACUCUUUACUUGUUUCAGUCAUUUGACUGUGGCCAUGCUGGAGCACCACCUUUAGUCGAGCAAAUCGACCCCAGGACUUAUUCUUUGGGGGCCUAGUACUUAUUUUAUCGGUCUUUUUUGCUAAACCGCUAAGAUACGGAGACGUAAACACACCAGCAUUAGUUGUCAAGCGAUAUUCGGGGGACAAACAUAGACACAAACAUAUACACACACAUACAUAUAUUUAUACAUAUAUACAACGGGCUUCUUUCAGUUUCCGUCUACCAAAUCCACUCACAAGGCUUUGGUCAGCCUGAGGCUACAGUAGAAGACAUUUGCCCAAAGUGCCAUGCAGUGUGACUGAACGCGGAACCAUGUAGUUCGUGAGCAAGCUACUUACCACACAGCCACUCCUACGCCUUAUAUUUAAAAGUGAUUGAAAGAAACAGAGCAUCUCAAAAUAAAUACCGUAAUGAAAGGGUUAAAUCUGUUUUUUAAGUGUUGCAAUAAUAUGUAUAAUGAUUUAAAUGUGCAAAACCCUCCAACUCUUAUCGGUAUCUUAAGCUGAAAUUAAAAACAAAAAGAGAAUUAAUGAUGACAAAACAUCGUUAAAAUUCAGCAAUAAUUUGAGAUUAUUCAGGAUUUGAGAUUUAGUCGUGAUUUUACUGUGAUACCCUGCUUAUAUCUUGAAAACGAAAUGAAAAAGUAAAUUAAUUUCGUACUAAUCUAGAGUCAGAGAAUCAUAUCUUUUCUCCUGUUUUUUAAUCCUUUCUAUUGUUUUGAUGCAGCUGUGACAUGUAAAACUGAUUCCAAAUUCCUGGUAUUCAUUCCUUUUUUUUUUUUCAGCACUAUUUCUUUCUCUCACUUCCCUGAAAAAAAAAAAACCCCAACAUAUCAAGGAAUACAAUAUGAUCAAUGAAUAUUUGGAAUAUUUCCAAAGAUUUUAGAUUUGAGAAUCUCUAUCAAACAUAAAUCUGGAGACAAUAUGACAUGCUCAUAUCACUGCAACACACAAAUAUCUAGUAUAUAUAUUGACGGAUCACAGAAAAUUGUUUCAGACACCAAGAAUUUUAGUUUGCCAUGAAAGGAGAGAAAGAGAGAGAGAGAAAGACCGGGUGUGUGAAAGGAAAAAAAAAAAUCUCUAGAUUCACAUUCUUUAGUGAAUUAUUGUGGUAAUCCAACAAUUCUAAAUCAAUGUUGUGGCUUUUUUUAUUUAUGCAGAAAAAAGUUUAAAGCCACAAUAAAAAAACAAAAAAAAAAAUCAUAACCUCCUCCCCCCCCAUCUUAUUUUAGAGUAACAUUUUUUCUUUGUAAAUUGCUUCUUUUUUUUUGUUUGUUUCCUCCUUCCUAAUUUCCAUGAAUUCUUCUCAGUACAUUCAAGGGUAUGAGGGUACUCCAUUGUAUUGUCCUCAAUGUAUUAAUAAUGCCUAGUUUGAACGACCUUGGAGGGAUAAAAAGCCAAAUCAACUCUGGCGAGACUUCAACUCACAACUUUCAUUAACGAAACUUGAUAUUUAAUUUCUCUAUUGUGUCUGCUAUCUCAGACCCUUGGUCCUGUAGUCAGCAUUGUAUAAUUUGUAAUUCUUUUCAUGAAAUCCUUAUAGGACGCGGAAGUGUAUUAAAUUUCAUCAUCAUCAUCAUCAUCACCACCACCACCACCACCAUCGUCGUCAUUAUUAUUAAAGGUGGUUGUGGUGGGGAAACAGGCAGAAUUGUUGGGAUGCCUGACAAAAUGUUUAGCAGCAUUUUUACACUUUAUACUCUGAGUUCAAAUUCUGCUGAGGAGGGCUUUGCAUUUCAACCAACCUUUUGGAGUUGAUAUAAUUAUAUAAUUGACUAGGUUCCUCCCCAUAAAAUUUUGAACACCUUACAUUCUGAGUAGGGUAAUAUAAACACUGCAGAAACUAGGAAACAGGCCUUGUGAGAGAGACAAUGGCUCAGGAAGGAUCUUUGAUUUUUAUAAAUAAAUAUAUAGGCGCAGGAGUGGCUGUGUGGUAAGUAGCUUGCUUACCAACCACAUGGUUCCGGGUUCAGUCCCACAGCGUGGCACCUUGGGCUGACCAAAGCUUUGUGAGUGGAUUUGGUAGACGGAACCUGAAAGUAGCUCGUCGUAUAUAUAUAUGUGUAUGUGUGUGUAUGUAUGUGUUUGUGUGUCUGUGCUUGUCCCUCCGACAUCACUUGAUAACCGAUGCUGGUGUGUUUAUGUCUCUGUAACUUAGCGGUUCGGCAAAAAGAGACCAAUAGAAUAAGUACUAGGCUUCUAAAGAAAAAGUCCUGGGGUCGAUUUGCUUGACUAAAGGUGGUGCUCCAGCAUGGCCACAGUCAAAUGACUGCAACAGGUAAAAGAGUAAAAGAAUAUAUAUAUGAAACUCAACUACGUUGGUCAUGAAUGACCAUGGGAGUACCUAACAGGUUCUCUUCUGGGGUACAAGUCUGGGCGGAAAGUCCCCUCACUGGCAAACACACAACCUAGGGUUGUUUUUAUGGAAGACCAACAGUCACCCAUGCAUGCCAGCCUCCCUUCUCUCUACGCCACCGAUGUUAUCCAAGGGAAAGGCAAAGGAGCCGAUACAACUUGGCACCAGUGAUGUCACAACUCAUUUCUACAGCUGAGUGAACUGAAGCAACUUGAAAAUAAAGUGUGUUGCUCAAGAACACAACACGCAGCCCAGUCCAGGAAUCAAACUCACUACCUCAUGAUCGUGUGCUCAAUACUCUAACACUGAGAGCCACUGCCUGGUACUGCAUCAGGGCAUUUAUUAUUAUUAUUAUUAUUAUUAUUAUUAUUAUUAUUAUUAUUAUUAUUAUUAUUAUUAUUAUUAUCAUUAUUAUUAUUAUUAUUAUCAUUAGUUUAUUAGCCAAAGAUCUUUUGUCACACAUUCUGUGACCUCUUCAGUGACUUUCUGUUCCUUGUGUCUCUACUCCUCUCUGGUCUUGUCCUCUCUCUGUUCCAUUUUGUCCUUCUAACGUCAGUACCUGUAUGUGUGUCUACAUGUUAAGUAUGUGUAUGUAUGCUGUGUGUGUGUGUGUAUAUGAGUUUGUAUCUUACAUUGUUUGUACCUGUGACAUUGUCUAUUUUAUUUUAUUUUUAUUUCUAUUUUUACCCUUUCCUUGUUUCUUAAAUCUUGCAAGAAAUGAAUUUUUUUUUUUAAAUAUAAUUUCCUUUCCCAACAUUUCAUUCUAAUUUCAUAGCUUUGUAGAAGGUAUUUGAAAGAAAGAAAUUAGGUUAUUGACCAAGAGGUCAUGUACUGGAAUGGCACCAUUUCUAUUCUGUUGUAUGUAGCCUUACAGAAACACAUUACUUGGUUCAGUUUAUCUGACAAGAAAAAUAGGUGCUACUUUGGUAUCCUGAUCAAUUAUGUAUAUCUGUCAUUAAAAUGGAACUUGCUAAGCUAAUUCUUAUCAAAUCAAGGAAUUCACAGAGCCAGUAUUCGUCCCUAAUUACCUCUGCCUUAUUGAAUGAUGGAAAAAGAGUUAUCAUUCUCUUGAGAGGUUGCUUAAGUAAGUUUUUAUUGGAUGUCAAAACCAUCAUUUCUACAGUACUUACAACUACUUAUAAUGGUAAAUUAACCAUCUGUGACAUCAACUAGGGAUUCUUUACCUGGUUGCUUGAAUUACUAGAAAUAGCAGCCACAUCUCUUGUCAAAUUGUUCAUACUGCCUCGAAAAACCAAUAUGACACAUUGUAGAUGUUUUAGGGACUGCUAAAAAGAAUACAGGACAGUUCCGGCUGAAACACUGUUUGCUCAUUGGCCUGGUCUGUCAAUUAGGGCUUGCUUCCCAUCCAUGUGGUUUUGGGUUCAGUCCCACUGCGCAGCUACUUAGGCCAACCAAAGCCUCAUGAAUGAAUUUGGUAGACAAUCAGCUAAAAAAGCCCCAUUUGAUUUGUGUGCUAGUGUUUGUGUAUCUAUCUAUCUAUCUAUCUAUCUAUCUAUCUAUCUAUCUAUCUAUCUAUCUAUCUAUCUAUCUUAUUUCUUUAUUGCCCUCAAGAGGCUAAACAUAGAGAGUACAAACAAGGACAGACAAAGGGAUUAAGUCGAUGACAUUGAACCCAGUGUGUAACUGGUAUUUAUUUAAUUGACCCUGAAAGGAUGAAAAGCAAACUCGACCUCAGCAGAAUUUGAACUCAGAACAUAACAGCAGACAAAAUACUUGCCUGGCACGCUAACGAUUCUGCCAGCUCACUGUCUAUCUAUCUGUCUGUCGUGUAUAUGGGUGUUUGUUUGUGGUGUGCCCUUGCCUUGACAUUACAUGAUGGUUGUGAGUGAGCAUCAUCAUCAUACAAGUAAGAUUGUUCUUUUGCAGUCUUCUGUGGAGAACAUGUCUUCUGGCCAUGGGGAGCUAUUACCUUGUUUGGAAACAGGCGAGGGUUGGUGACAAGAAGGGCAUCCAGCUGUAGAAAAUUUACUUCAACAAAUUCCAUCCAACCCAUGCAAGCAUGGAAAAGUGGACGUUAAAUGAUAAUGAUGACAUACACACAUACAUCAUUCAUAUAUAUAUAUAUAAUUUUUCAAUCAAACCUCUUGCCAUUUAACAUGGUAUCUCUUGACGAUAAUGUAACCUUCAUUUGACUAAGGUAUGUUUGGCCUGAUGAAUAGCUAGUGGAGUACUGCUCAUUGAGUAAUUACUACUUCUGAGGUUCUGCUAGCUACGAAACAUAUGUAGCCUGGAUUUUAUCUACUCUAUUCCCUAAAUUUGGAUAUGUAUGUUGUCUACGGUAUAAAGAUUAGAGCUACUAAUAGUUUUUUGUUAUGAAGGCAUGUGGUUAGGCAGGUUUUUUUUAUAAUGCACUUUGUGUCUCUAAAUAGUCUUCAGUUAACAAAACACUAAACAAUAUAUCACACACACACACACACACACACACACACACACACACACACACACACACACACACGUAUUUUACAAAAAGGAGAGAUAUUUUGAUAGUUCUUUGAUUUGGGUAAUAGCUAAAGAGAUAUAAUACUGAAAUAAGUAUUACCAGAUUUAGACAAUUCUUGUGGCAUUUCGAGAAGAAACGCUUUUAUCUUUUUACAUUAAAAAUCCAAAGUUCCAAUAUUCCAACCAUACCUACUUUAGACACGGCUCAUUUGCUUUCACUGAGAUUUGGCCUGUGUCAUAUUGAAAAGCUACCUGUACAGAUGUAUAAUGCUUGCAUCUCUGUGAAACACUAUCUGAAAAAUGGAAAGCGUUAUGUACUUUGGUUAUAUACCUCUUGACCUAUUAAAUUGAUACUAAAUUCUUUCAUAAAACAUUGAUUUAUGCUAGUUUUCUGAACUUUGGUAUUUCAUUUGCAAUUUUUGCUAAGAUAUUUCUAAUAGUUCAUCUGUAGCAUCUCUUGGAAUAGAUAUUUCUUUCCUAAAUAGCAUUAGUGUGAUUUAAACUAAUAUUCUUGGAAAAGGUCACAUUAAGCACAGUGAUAGAGCAAUAAUUUAAUACCUGAAUCAUCCGCUUAUUUUUGUUGGUUUAUUAAAAAAUAUAUAACAAUGCUUUAAAAGACAGCUUAUAGCUAGCUUGAUGUAAGAUUAAGAACUUAUUCCUGCACCUUCAGGCUAUUACUACCGUGUCUUUUGUUUUUGGUUUGUGUGUGUGUGUUUCUUUUUAUAACUAUAUGACAAGGAUUCAUUGAUAUGACAAUUUUAUCUUCUCUUCGUCACUUAAUUGCCUUCAACAUGAGGAUAAAAUCUUUAAAUGAAUUGACACACAUAUACACAUGCAUUUAUAACUUCAUAUAUAUAUAUACACGCACGCGCUCAUACACAUACAUCUACAUACAUAUAUAUAUACAUACACACAGACAUACAUACAUAUAUACAUACAUUUACAUAUAUACACACACAUACAUAUACAUAUAUAAAUAUACAUAUACAUACACUUACAUAUAUACAUACAUUUACAUAUACACACACACAUAUACAUAUAUAAAUAUACAUAUACAUACACCCACAUGCAUGUACAUAUACAUGUAUAUACAUACACAAACACACAUAUAUCUGUGUAUAUACAUACAUAUAUAUAUCUUUAAUUUCUUUCUCUCUCUAUACAUAUAUAUAUAUAUAUAUAUAUAUAUAUAUAUAUAGAGAGAGAGAGAGAGAGAGAGAGAGAGAGAGAAAGCUAAUUUAUUUAUCUUCCUUUUAGCAAUUUCAAAUUUAGUUGAAUGAUUGAAGUCUUGGAGUUAUUUGUUAAAUUAAAAAAAACAGAAAAAUGGAAAAUUUUAUCGCUUUGUGCAUUAUCACAUGUUAGCUUCAUACGUCAACUAGAUUUAAGUUGUUAGUCUGUUUGUAAGAUACUAUAACAUAUAUAAUUGCUAUGGAAAUUAUUUUGUUACAUAUUGAAAGUUUAUAUUUUCUUCAUAUUGAUAUUAUAUAGUAAUUCAUGCAUGUUUAUACAAUUAAUAUUUUUUGCCUCAUUUCUUCCCAUUUCUUGCUUCAUGCUGCAGCAUUAAAGGCGGUGCUCCAGCAUGGCCGCAGUCAAAUGACUGAAACAAAUAAAAGAGUAAAAGAGUAAUAUAUUCUUCUGUAGUUUCUUUUGUCGAUGUCAUUGUCAUCAUCAUCAUCAUUUUACGUCCACUUUUCCAAGCUGGUGUGGGUUAGAUGAAUCGUCAUAGUUUAAGUUAUUACCUCCACUUUGCUAAGGUGGAGGUAUUGUUUUCAGUUGUGUUUGUUUGUUUGUCCAUGGACAAGAUAUCUCAAGAACUGCUGGAUAGGUUUGGAUGAAACUUUCAGGGAUGUUUGGCCUCAGGACUGGCAUGAACUGAUUAGAUUUUGGGAUCGAUCUGGUACUGGUCAAGGAUUCUGGAUUAUUUUCCCUGUUUUUUUUUUUUUUUACUUCAUUUCUAAGAGUGGUCAGAUUCAUUUGUGAGAGCAGUCAAGUUUAUUUCAUUUUAAAAACCAUCUCCAGCUAAUCAUUGAGAGGAUGUUGGUGUUGCCUUGGUGGAGGUUUGCCCUCUCUGAGUGCUCUUGUUUCUUAUUAAGAACUGCUGCUCACAUGCAUUGAUGUUCACAUGUGUUAUUUGGCUUGGUUUCUAUGAAUGGAUGCCUUCUCUAUUGCCAACCAAUUUACAGAGAUUUACAAACGACUUGCUUGUGCAAGUGCCACCAACCGAAAGCCCCACAUACCAAAUGUCAGUAGGUUUCAAAGACCACCAUACCAUUUUUUUGGAGUUGCAGGGAGCAGGGCUUCUUGAUGGGUUUAUAACACACUAAUCCUUCACACCGAUGUGAGGCCCCACCUACUGGAUCAACUGACUUCUCUUUAACCAUUUUCUCAUGGCACCCACACAAGAGAGUUUGAUAGAUCCUCAAAAGGACAAGACUAACAGGACCUCAUACACCUACAGUUUCCCUUCUCAUUAGUCCUCUUCUUUAUGGUGUACACCGGAUGCAUUUUUCAGAGCAUCAACACCUGUGGGUGCGGCUUUCAACCGUGGCAUGAACACAGGAAGAGAGUGCUUUGUACACCGUUAAAUGCAAAGACUACUUAGUAACUCAAGAUGGAGACCAAAGAGGGCAAUUACAGUGGAAAGGCCAGAAAUUGGAGGGUAGGAAGAACAAGGGCAAAAGUGUAGAAAGUGCUCCAUAAUCUAGAGCAGUGGUUUUCAACCAGGGUUCCGCCAGUACAGUCCAGGGGUUCCGCAAGAAGUUACAAAAAUGCUAAAAUCAGCAGUAAUUUUUAAUUCUCCUGUGCAGAUAUGUGUGCAUAAAAUUAUUAAAUUAUUGCACAGGGGUUCCUUAAGCCAGUGGAAUGUUUCUUUGGGGUUCCGCCCCAGCAAAAUGUUUGAAAAGCACUGAUCUAGAGCAAUGGUUCUCAAUUGGGGAUCCAUAUGGCCCUUAGGGCUCCAUAUAAAAUUUUGUUGUUAAAAAUUUGUGCUAUAAACUGGUUAUGAUUCUACAAUUCACAAAAUAUGUUAACGCUUUCUCAUAUAGUCCUCUAAUGAUAUUUAAUCCUAAACAUCCAAUAAGAUUUUUUAAAAAUAUUGAAUGGCCAUAAGGGUCCACCUGAGUAAAAUAGAAAUCAAAGGGGUCCUUAGAAAAAAGAAAUGGUUGAGAAUCACUGAUUUAGAGCAUGUACAUUUGCUCAGGGGGCCAAGGAGGGGAAUGUUCCAUUUGUAAUUCUUCCAUCAAAAAUGCAUAGUCUAAGGAUGCAAUAGUAACACUACAUUGUGUACCUACAACAUCCUUAGGCAGAUAACCUGAAGGUGUUUGCCUUCUCUUCGCAUAUGGUUGGCUGUUAGUUUCUCUGUGGUAUGAUUAGCAGUUGGAUUCAUCAUCAUCAUCAUCAUCAUCAUUGUCAUUUAAUGUCCAUUUUCUGUGCUGGCAUGGGUUGGAUGGCUUGAGAGGAGCUGGCAAGACCAGGUGCCACCCCAAGUUCCAUAGUCUGUUUUGGCUUGAUUUCUACGGCUGGAUGCCCUUCUUAAUACCAACCACUUUACAGAGUGUAUUGGGUGCUUUUUAUGUGGCACCAGCACCAGUGUGUCUCUGUAUGCCUCCGCCACCAUUUGACAUUUGAUAUUGGUUUGUUUACAUCCUUGUAGCUUAGCAUUUUAGCAGAAAAAAAAGAGACUAAUAAAGUAAGUAGUAGACUUUAAAAAAAAUUAGAACUGGGGUGGAGGUGGGUUUCUAUUUGUUCCACUAAAACCCUUCAGGGCAGUCCCCGGUGGGGUGGGGUGGGGUUUUGAUUUGUUCCACUAAAACCCUUCAGGGCAGUACCCCAGCAUAGCUGCAGUCGAAUAACGGAACCAAAUAAAAGACUAAGAUCUUCAUUAAAAUCUCGAGUAUUGAAUUGAAACUAACAUGAUGUUUUUAUGUUAUGUAAGGAUGGUGGUGGUGGUUGUAGAGGGGGGGCAAACCUUCUUUAAUAGAGUUUAGCAUCAUAUUCAUUGGGAAGCACGCUUCUUGUAAUUCCAUGUGUAAUCUGAGAUAAGCCAAGAACCUCGAGUUGAAAACCUGAUGUAUGUAAAACGAAAAUUUAAGUUAAACCAGCGACCUUCGGGUCAGCAUUCUAAUACUUGAACCACUUAACCACAUUUUUAUGACUGCACAACUAAUUGAUACCGUAAUCACUAGUGCUUAUCAGAUUACUAAAAGUUAAGGCAAAAACAUAGGUAGGCACAUAAUUAAAUGACCAUUUGGGAAACAUAAUCUGAAGGGCUGUCGGUAGCUGUAACUCUUAACCUACUUGGGAUUGAGUGAGCAGAGACUGAACAAAACUCAUGCAGCGCUUCAUGUUUUUCUUGCAUUUGCUAAAUAUCAUUUCUUUGCCAGGUGUACUUUGUCUGUUACAAGAGCCUGAUAUGCAUUAGUUUGUCUUUAACUCUCAAGAGCAUAGCUUCUAUUCAUAUUUAUUAACCGCUGUGAAAACUAAGUAACUGAACUUGCCUGUUAAUAAGCAGCCUUAAAAUCAAGUAGUCAAGUACUUAAUAGGGAGUCAAAACCUACUUAGUUACGUUUUGGAGUAUCUCAUGGCUCUUGGGAGGAAGAUAGGCCUUCUUGUCUCCUUUAAGCAAAGUUUAAACUGAAAUACUUCUAGUAGAAGUAACUGUAGAUGAUUCUGCAUAGCAUGUACCAACUUAUGUACAUGCUAUGUGAAGGAGAUCUUGGAAGAUGGGAGGAGGGUAGAGAUGGGUUUUUUUCUUGAAAUGAAUAAUGCUUCUAUUUAUUUAUUUAUUUAUUGGAAUCAUUAAAUAUUGCCAGAUGUUACAGUAAUUGUUGCUUCAGAAAUAUUGUUCAAUUUACCACUCUAGUGUAGUUUAGAUUUUGCAGCAUGUGACCGACAUCGAGACGGGUUUCCCAAAUAUUUGUCGAUCUUGGUAACCAGAUAUAAGAUUUAUAAAAAAAAAAAAAAAUUGUGUUUUCUCUAACAUAAGUGCUGUUCCCAGAACUUGGCGGUACCAUUAUUUAGUGAAACUGAAUUCUUAGCCAAGCAGAAAGUGGAUAGUAUCUUGAUAUAUAAAAUGCUAGGUCACAUGUUAUUUUAUUUAUUUAUUUGUUUGUUGAUGUUUGGUUGCUUGGUUGGGUCCUUCUUUCUGUCUCACUGUAACGAGAAAGUAGUGGCUAUGUUGAGAGAGGUGAAAUAGAUAGAUAGAUAGAUAGACAGACAGAUAGAUAGAUAGGGAGAGAGAGAGAAGUAUUAUAAGGAGCAGUAAGUUAACCAUUUUGUUACCAGAUUUGUUGAAAUUCACUGCCCUUGUUUCAAUAAAUUUUGGGGGGAAAAGUGCAACUUAUAUGCCAUAAAAUACAGUGCAACAAAGGCAAAUGUAAGAGGAAUUGAAAAGAAACCGUAAAGCCAGAUUUCAGAAUAUUAGAUUUCAUUAGAGAAAUGACACUAGACUGGAAUAUUUUGAAACCUACUGUAAUAUAGUCUAUGUUUUAUAACCCAUGGCUGCACAAAAAUAAAUGAAUAAAGAGGUAAAAGCCACGAUGAUGGUGGUGAUGAACUUAACUCUACCAGAGAUACUGUAUUAUUUCAUUUUGAAACAUGCCCUUCCGUCUGUAGCCUGUAUACAUUUACCAAUUCUAUCAUUGUAUGAAUGUAAUAAGCAGUUUAUGUUUUUCUGAUUGUCUUGAAACAACUGUUUGUUGUUAUUAUCUAGUAAAACAAAAAGCCGUCUAGACAGGCGAGCAGAUAAAUCAAUGCAAGCCUCUUGAUAAUGCCAGAGACAAUUGUAGUUUGAUUGCAUAUGUCUAAUCAUUUUUGAUGUCAAAAAGCUACCUUCCCCCUCCCCGUUCCCCCUCCCCUCGAAUCACAGAAGACUAGGAAACUAACUGAUUUUCAUUCUGAAAUUGGAUGAACGUUAUUCUGCAUAAAAUUUUAAAAUUUGUUCAUUAUUAUUUUUCAUGAAAUGCCAGGUCUCAAAUAUGAUUUAUAUAUGUAAUUAGAGACACUCUUCACCAUUGUUUUACACUAGUCUCCCUCCCUCUCUCUCUCUCUAGUGCUCGGAUAUAGUUUGCCCAUGAUUAAAAUCAUACUAAUAGUAUUGUGAAUUAUUCUGUGUUUGUGAAAGGGGGGAGGUUGCUCCAUCUGAUCUAUUGGUGGUUUAAUUUUUGUGUAUGUAUGUAUGUAUGUAUAUGUAUGUGUGAGUUUGUGAGAUUGGAAUCGGUUGACUAGCAAUUAAACCUACAUUAAGUAAUGGGUCACAUGAUGCUUUUUCUGCUUCAACUUGCAAAGUUAUUAAGAGAAGCUGGAAUAUUAUUUUGUAUAAAAUCUUUCCGGGAGUGGCUGUGUGGUAAGUAGCUUGCUUACCAACCACAUGGUUCCGGGUUCAGUCCCACUGCGUGGCACCUCAGGCAAGUGCAUUCUAUUAUAGCCUCUGGUCGACCAAAGCCUUGUGAGUGAAUCUGUUAGACAGAAACUGAAAGAAGCCUGUCGUAUAUAUGUGUGUGUAUAUAUAUAUAUAUGUGUGUGUGUAUAUGUUUGUGUGUCUGUGUUUGUCCCCCCAACAUCGCUUGACAACUGGUGUGUUUACAUCCCCGUAACUUAGCAGUUCGGCAACAGAGACCGAUAGAACAAGUACUAGGCUUACAAAGAAUAAGUCCUGGGAUUGAUUUGGUCAACUAAAGGCAGUGCUCCAGCAUGGCCACAGUCAAAUGAUUCUCCACUUGAGAAUCACAAUUCAUAACAGAGUUUGUCGUUGCAGACGUACAAUGUAAAAUAGAAAUCAAAAUAGAUAAGAACUAAUACGGGCAGUUUUGAUGGAGCAAGAAGUGCUAUGCUAUAUUUUUGAGAGCAUGAGACACAAACAGAAAAGGGAAUGGACUAUGCUUGGCAUCACAUUGCAGGACAAGAAAACCAACACCUGGAUUCCACAGCACAGAAAAGUCAGUGACAUCACAAGAUCCAUCAAAGAGAACAAAUAUAUAAAUGGGCUGGCCACAUCAUGCGGCUGAGGGACAAUAGAUGGACAAUCAGGCGGAUGGAAUGUACACCAAGACUAUGGACAAGAUCAAAAAGUUGACCAAAGACAAGAUGGUGAGAUGAUCUCACCCACUACCUGGGGCCUACAUGGCUACGACUGACCAGAGACAGAUAGUGGUAGAAAGAGUCCAAGAAGGGUUCCUCCUUUAGUAGUAAUAUGUUUCUUUAUUGCCCACAAGGAGCUAAACAUAGAGGGGACAAACAAGGACAGACAAAUGGAUUCAGUCAAUGACAUCGACCCCAGUGCAUAACUGGUACUUAAUUUAUCGACCCCGAAAGGAUGAAAGGCAAAGUCGACCUCGGUGGAAUUUGAACUCAGAACGUAAUGGCAGAUGAAAUAUGGCUACACAUUUCGCCCGGUGUGCCAAUGUUUCUGCCAGCUCACCACCUUCAGCAGUAAUAAAGCCCUGGGUAAGGACGAGGAUGAAACACACACACACACACACACGACAAGCUUCUUUCAGUUUCUGUCUAUCAAAUUUGUUCACAAGGUUUUGGUCAGUUUAGAGCUAUAGAAGAAAGCGCUUGGCUUGCAAAGUGCCACAGGGGAGGAUUGAAACUGAAACCACAAAGCGAGAAAACAAGCUCCUUAACCACACAACCAUGCCUGUAUCUUUUUAAAUAAUCAAUGAAAAUUUGUUGAAAAUAGAAAUAAGAUAAAAAUUUAACUUUCAAUAAUAAAUGAAUUUCAAAGGACUUGAAUUGGUCAAUUUAUUAAAUUUAUUUAUGAAAUUAGCUAAUAGUCAAUUUAAACCAUUUUCGUAUGAUGGCCUUCUUUCAUACAAUUUAUGUAUUGCUAAUCAUUAUUUCAAAGUGUUAUUUCACUAAUUGAGAAUUAUUAAAGAGCAGAAUCCUUUGUAGAUUUUGUCAAAAUAUAUAUUUUCAGUACGAAAAUAAAGCUCUACGUGAAUUUCAUAUAUAUAAAUUUAUAUUUAUAUAUAUUAUAUAUAUAUGUGUGUGUUUGUGUGUGUGUGUGUGUGUGUGUGUGUGUGUGUGUGUGUGUGUGUGUGUGUGUGUGUGUGUGUAUAUAUACACACACACACAUAUUAUAUACCAUGUAUAUAUUUAUAUAUUAUAUAUACAUGUUUUUAUUAUCAUAUAUAUAUAUAUAUAUAUAUAUAUAUAUAUGUUUUUAUUAUCAUUCAUAUAUAUAUAUAUAUAUAUACAUACAUAUAUAUGUACUAUAUAUCAUGUAUGUAUGUAUGUAUGCAUGUAUAUAUAUAUAUAUAUAUAUAUAUAUACAUACAUAUAUAUGUACUAUAUAUCAUGUAUGUAUGCAUGUAUAUAUAUAUAUGUAUAUAUAUAUAUAUAUGUACUAUAUAUCAUAUAUAUGUACAUAUAUGUAUAUAUACAUAUAUAGAGAGAAAUAUGUUAAUGUUAUUUUUAUGUCAACUUAUAUAUAAAAGAUAAAAAUACAUUUUAAUGGAGUUCAGAUUUAAUACUUUUCACAAGGAAACCACUGACAGUGAGUUCGAAUUUUCAGCUUCUUUCAUUCUGACAGCAAGUAAGCCAAAACUUCACAACCACUGUUACCCUUUUCUUUGCAUGUGUAUGUGUAAGUUGUAAUAGUAGUUAUAUUUUCUAUUAUAUUUUACACAGGCCUGAAACAUAUGUUUUGAAUGAUUUCAAAAUAUCACUAUUUGGUUUGAUUUCAUUAUUACAACUUAUAUAUAUGUUGAUGCCAGGACAAACUAGCUGGUUCCGAUUCUCCUUAUGGAGAUAACGUGGCACUCUGUCGGUUGCGACGAUAAGGGUUCCAGUUGAUCCAAUCAACGGAACAGCCUGCUCAUGACUGAUCCCUUCACAGACACAUGUACCCUUAAAGUAGUUCUCGGGGAGAUUCAGUGUGACACAGAGUGUGACAAGGCUGGCUCUUUGAAGUACAGGUACAACAGAAACAGGAAGAAACAGCGAGAGAAAGCUGUGGUGAAAGUGUACAGCAGGGAUCGCCACCAACGGAGCCGCGUGGAGAUUUAGGUGUUUUUGCUCAAUAAACACUCGCAACACCCAGUCUGGGAAUCAAAACUGUGAUCCUACAACUGCGAGUCCGCUGCCUUAACCACUGGGCCAUUGUGCCUCUACUAUGAGGAUACACUAAUAAUGAUUUGGAGUAGUUUGUUUUAUGUAUCUAUCUAUCUAUAUCCAUAUAUAUAUAUAUAUAUAUAUAUAUAUAUAUAUAUAUAUAUAUAUAUAUAUAUAUAUAUAUAUAUAUACACACAUACAUACAUACACAUAUAUAUAUGAUUACCCCAAGGUGGAGGUAUAGAAAAAAGAUGUUGGAAAUGCACUAGAAUUCCUUAAGAUUUUGUAUCUUUUACUAUUGAAAGACUUAACCAGCAAUUUUGGUAAAUAUAUCUGUUAAAAUGAGAUGCUGGUGUUAUUUUUAUUUUUGUGUAAUUUAGAUGAAAGUUUAUUCACCGCACCCUGUAUACACAAAGAUAUUUGUUUUUAUAUAUAUAUGUAUGUAUUGGUAUUUAGUAAGGGAUUUCUCCCUUACUGACUUUUUUAAAAAUUGACUGCUUAGUUUAUAAUUACAAAGUAAUUCCCCCUCUCCAAAAUGAUUUGUGCUUUUUGGCUAGAAUGUAAGCUUGUUACAGCUUUAGGCUAUUACUCUUGCUCAUUCAUUGUUAAAAAAUACACAUUUCUUACUUCUUUAUUGCCCACAAGGGGCUAAACACAGAGAGGACAAACAAGGACAGACAAAGAGAUUAAGUCGAUUACAUCAACCCCAGUGUGUAACUGGUACUUAAUUUAUCGACACCAAAAGGAUGAAAGGCAAAGUCGACCUCGGCGGAAUUUGAACUCACAACGUAACGGCAGACGAAAUACCGCUAAGCAUUUCGUCUGGCGUGCUUAUGAUUCUGCCAGCUCGCCGCCUUAAAGAUGCACAUUUCUUGUUGGUUCUAUUAACUUGUAAUAUGAUGUUUAGUAUCCAAGCACAAUUUCUUAGUUUUGAGGCUUGAUUGUGUAAUUGUGUGAUAUACUUGCUCCUCAUUGCUUUAGAAAGAAAGUUUAUAAAAACAAGAUGUAAGAAAACAGUAAGCAAACUCAUGUAAACAAGGGGCAACUUGUUGAAGACUCAAACAUUAAUAUUUUAUUUGUAUAUGUAGAUCUUGUUGAGUAACAUUAACAGCUAUUCAAAUGCGCACAGUUGGUGCAUCUUUCCUGUUUGUAUGAUAAGUUUCCGAUGCGAGUACGAAAUGUUUUUUUUUUUUAUGAUUCCAACAAAUGCACUCUCCUCUUCAUGUUUUGUUUUUUCAAUGUUACCAUGAUAAAUAUAUACCUGGUGCAACGUCAGCUUUUAGGAAUGCAGUAAAUAUAAUAAUCCAUUUGGCUUGUUGUUGAAGUUAGUUUUCGUAUCAAGCUACAAAAAUGAUAGAGUAUUAGAUGUACUGAUUAACUGGUAUGUUUUUCUCAAAACACUUUCUAGCUCAUGUUACAAAAAAAUACCUUUGUAAAAUUUGGUUAAACAUCAAUUAGUAUCUGUUUUACUGUAUAGUUUUAUAACCUGCAAUGUUUUGUUUAGAUUCUGCUGGAUUUUGACUGUAUUAUAAGCUAAAUUUUUCACUAAAAUAUUUUUCAGCGGUUAACAUCAUCAUUACCACUAUUUAACAUCUAUUCUCCAUACUGGCAUAGGUUGGAAUGAUUCGAGAGGGCCUAGUGAGCCAGAGGUUUGUGCUGAGUUCCAAUGCCUACUUUGGAAUGGUUUCUACUACUAGAUGCUCUUCCUAAUGCCAGCCACUUUACAGAGUGUACUGGGUGCUUUUUACAGGGUCAUUGGCUCCAGUGAGGUCACAAAGUAACUUGUAAGACAAGAAGAUCCCUCAACUUGGGGUUGGGGUAUGGAGGGAAGUGGCUUUAUGCCAGGUUAUGAGAUACUAAAAUUGAGGGAACCUGUGGAAGAGGUAGACCCAGGAAGACCUGGGAUGAGGUGGUGAAGCAUGACCUUCGAACUUUAGGCCUCACCGAGGCAAUGACCAGUGACCGAGACUUUUUGAAAUAUGCUGUGCUUGAGAAGACCCGGCAAGCCAAGUGAGACCAUAACCUUGUGGCCUAAGCCAGGGGUGUAACCAGCCCACUUAUGUGUACAUUCCCUUCAUUGGACACUAAACUCUGCUUGCAAAGACCUGUUGAGGCAAGUGAAACCGAAAUCGAAAUCAAAUUCGAUGACUGGCAUCCGUGCUAGUGGAGCACUAAGAGCACUAUCCGAGUGUGAUUGUUGCAAGAGCGGCUAACUGGCGUUUGUGGCAGUGGCACGUAAAAAGCAUCAUUUGAGCAUGAUCGUUACCAGCCUCGCCUUACUGGCACUUGUGCCGGUGACAUGUAAAAAAAAACAAAACAAAAAACGAUUUUUUUUGUGGCCGUUGCCAGUACUGCCUGACUGGCCCUCAUGCCGGUAGCAUGUAAAAGCACGCACUACACUCUUGGAGUGGUUGGCAUUAGGAAGGGCAUGCAGCUGUAGAAAUUCUGCCAGAUCAAGAUUGGAGCCUGGUGCAGCCAUCUGGUUCACCAAUGCUCAGUCAAAUCAUCCAACCCAUGCUAGCAUGGAAAGCGGACCUUAAAUGAUGAUGAUGAUGAUGAUGAUGUGAAUAAAUAAGCAUCCCAUUUAACAGAGUAAUCUAAAUGCUAAAGGGUUAAACACCCUGUCCUCAAUGUUAUUCCUAUUUAGACUUUUCUCUUCCUCAACGAUUCACAUUCCUGCUGAAAAUUUCAUUUACAUUUACACUAGCAAUUACCUAAAAAUAUAUUUUCUUCCUUCUGCAAAAACAUGACACAGAAAACAUCAUCAUUGGUAUUUCAGAACAAUAUCUGAAUAGAAUUCCAGCAAAUUUGCUUACAUAUGACUAAGUGAAUUUAAAUUUCCCCAUGAGAGAACUUCAAAACUCUAAGAUCUUACCUAGGAAAAGUCGCCGUUCAUCUCAAAAUGCAUUUUUGUGCAAUAUGCGCAUGUAUGUGUGCUUGUAUUUUUCAUUAAAUACUAAUCUUCACAGAUGUAUGACAAGGAACUUUCGUAAAGCUACAUUCCUAAUUUAAAAUUCCACCAAAUUGUCUGUGUGUUCAAUAUCUAUUAUCUACCACACCUGAAAUUCUAUAAGCGGAAUUCAUCUGCAAUUCACAGGAAAAAAAACAAAACAACAAAACAAGCCACAACAAUGAAAAUAAAACGAUGUUCUAAUAUAUUUCAUUUCAUAUAUUUGAAUGGAAUUCUUUCGGUCCUCUAUUGAACCAAGCCGAAUCCUAAAUAGCACUUUAUUCUUUGAGAUAAAGCUGUAAAUGAAAACAUUAGCCCAUAAACCUUUUUUUAAACAUUUUUAACAUUACCAAUCAAUUUCAUCAAAAAAAAAAAAUAAUAAUAAAUAAAUAAAUAAAUAAAGACAUUUCUUUUGUUUUGUCUUCCUUUUUAUUUUAUUAUCAGCAAUUUUCCUUUGAAAUGUUCAACAAAACACACAGCAUCAGAAAACAACAAUAAAAUUCUCCAAUUCAUUAUAAUUCACCGUUACUGCCAAAAGUCACAUACUGUGUCUUUACCUAACCAUUUACCAUUAACCCAUUAGCAUUUAAACUGGCCAAAUUUGGCCAAAAUAUUCUGGACAUAGUUGUUUAGUUGUUCUAAAUCAACUUUCCUCAAAUAGACCUAUGAUCAAGAGUAUUCCAACUGCGACCAUCCUGUCUUAACCCAUUAGCAUUUAAACUGGCCAAAUUUGGCCAAAAUAUUCUGGACAUAGUUGCCUAGUUGUUCUAAAUCAACUUUCCUCCAAUAGACCUAUGAUCAAGAGUAUUCCAACUGCAACCAUCCUGUCUUAACCCAUUAGCAUUUAAACUGGCCAAAAUUGGCCAAAAUAUUCCAGACAUAGUUGUCUAGUUGUUCUAAAUCAACUUUCCUCAAAUUGACCUAUGAUCAAGGGUAUUCCAGCUGUGACAAUCCUGUCUUUUAUAGGGGUGCUUAGAACUGUAAUAUUUAAUGUGUCUGUUCCUUAAUCAAAAUAGCCGGCUGUGUGUUAACCUGUUAGCAUUCAAACCAGCUGUAUUGGGUCAAAAUAUUUAAUCUGUUUUAUGUUGAACCUGGUCAGAUCAGGCCUUUCACUUCAAGGCAAACAAAGAGGUGUCUAGCAACAGCAGUGGAAUUGCUAAAUCUAGAUUUUUGUGUCUUUGCGAAUCAUCAUCAGCAAUUAUCCACUAUCAGUCACAUGCUUAAACAAAUUUCUCUUCUGUUGAUAUUGAAAAACAGUGAUUCAUAAAUCACUGGUGUCACAAACAACUGGCAAGCUGGGUAAAUAUUUUGUUAUUAGCAAUGGGUUUGACAUUCCCUUGUCCCACUUAACCAUUUUUAUAUCCUUCUGCAUUCAAAUUUCUUUGUCAAAUGUAUUGCUUAUUUAUUCACAUUGCUUUGAAUUAAUCACGCAUUAUCUCACAGCUUCAAGAUUUCAGUGGUGUACUCUUUUACUCUUUUACUUGUUUCAGUCAUUUUGACUGUGGCCAUGCUGGAGCACUGCCUUUAGUCGAGCAAAUCGAACCCAGGACUUAUUCUUUGUAAGCCUAGUACUUAUUGUAUUGGUCUCUUUUGCCGAACCACUAAGUUACGGGGACGUAAACACACCAGCAUCGGUUGGUUGUCAAGUGAUGUUGGGGAGACAAACACAGACAUACAAACACACACACACACACACAUGUAUAUAUACAUAUAUACGACGGGCUUCUUUUAGUUUCCGUCUACCAAAUCCACUCACAAGGCUUUGGUCGGCCUGAGGCUAUAGUAGAAGACACUUGCUCAAGGUGCCACGCAGAGCCAUGUGGUUGGUAAGCAAGCUACUUACCACACAGCCACUCCUACACCUAGGUGUGUUUGUAUAUUUUUAGAAUGACAUUGUUGGGUAGGUGUGAGAGGCUGGAUCCAAUCAGUUUUAACAUGAGCCAGGUAGAAUAUUUGGGCUGGAUGUGGCCAGAUUAAAUAUUAAAGGGUUAAAUGUAGUGAGACAGUGAUUGGCCUAUCAGAAACCUGUAACUAUUGAUGUCCUUGUCCACAAAAUGCAUGAUAUAAAUAUCUAGAAAUUGAAAAAAGAAUCCUCGGCUUACAGAUAUAAACAUUUUCACUAAUAUUUUCUUUAAAAUGAACAAAUAUAAAUAUGGCUUUGAAAAUAUUUAUAUUUUCAAAUAUAUAUAUAUUUCAAAAUAUAUUUCAUAUUUUGCAAAUAUAUAUUUUAAAAUACAUUUUAUAUUUGCAAAUGGUGCUAGAGUGAUCAAUAUAGUGACCACUCUCUUAUAUUUAUUUUAAAAUUCAUAUAUAUUUGCAAAUAUAUAUUUUAAAAUUCAUAUAUAUUUGCAAAUAUAUAUUUUAAAAUUUAUAUAUAUUUGCAAAUAUAUAUAUAUUUUAUAUUCUCAAUAUAUAUUUUGUAUUUUUGAAAAAAUAUUUCGUAUUUUCAAUGAGAAUAAAAUAAUUUAUUUUAGAAUUGAAUGACAAAUAAAAGUUGGUUCAUUACAUUUUCCCCUGUUUUUUCUUCUAUUCCAGUAGGAUAUUUUGCAGGAAAAGACCAAAAGUAAAAGAAUAAAAAUAUGAACGAAAAAUUAUAAUAAUGGAUGGAUUAUUGGCGUGUAUUUUUGUAG
rnacentral:lncRNA from 1 species